rnacentral:tRNA from 1 species
GCCGGGGUGGUGGAACUGGCAGACACGUGCGUUUGAGGGGCGCAUGGUAACACCGUAGGGGUUCGAAUCCCCUCCCCGGCA